rnacentral:rRNA from 1 species
AAGGUAGCAUAAUCAUUAGUUUUUUAAUUGAAAGCUUGUAUGAAGGGUUGGAUGAGAAAAUAACUGUCUCUAUCCAAAUUUAUUAGAAUUUUAUUUUUAAGUAAAAAAGCUUAAAUAAUUAUUGAAGACGAGAAGACCCUAUAGAGUUUUAUAUUUUUAGCUAUUAAAAAUUUUAGUAUUAUAAAAGUUAAUAGUUAAAUUUAUUUAGUUGGGGUGAUUAAAAAAUUUAAUAAACUUUUUUUUUAUUUAUACAUUGAUAUAUGAAUAAUUGAUCCUUUUAUUAAGAUUAAAAGAUAAAAUUAC